rnacentral:rRNA from 1 species
CUAGUUGGUAGGGUAAUGGUCUACCAAGGCUUUGAUCGUUAGCUGGUCUGAGAGGAUGGCCAGCCACACUGGAACUGAGACACGGUCCAGACUCCUACGGGAGGCAGCAGUGGGGAAUCUUGCACAAUGGGCGAAAGCCUGAUGCAGCGACGCCGCGUGGGGGAUGAAGCUUUUCGGAGUGUAAACCCCUUUCGAUCCGGACGAAUGCCUCGCAAGAGGAGUGACGGUACGGAUAUAAGAAGCCCCGGCUAACUACGUGCCAGCAGCCGCGGUAAUACGUAGGGGGCCAGCGUUGUUCGGAAUUACUGGGUGUAAAGGGUUCGUAGGCGGUGUGGCAAGUUGGGAGUGAAAUCUCUGGGCUCAACCCAGAGACGGCUUCCAAAACUGCCGUGCUUGAGUGUGAGAGAGGCUCGUGGAAUUGCAGGUGUAGCGGUGAAAUGCGUAGAUAUCUGCAGGAACACCCGUGGCGAAAGCGGCGAGCUGGAUCACUACUGACGCUGAAGAACGAAAGCUAGGGGAGCAAACAGGAUUAGAUACCCUGGUAGUCCUAGCCCUAAACGAUCAGGACUUGGGGUGCCACCCGUUCGGGUGGCGUCCCGGAGCUAACGCGUUAAGUCCUGCACCUGGGGAGUACGGUCGCAAGACUGAAACUCAAAGGAAUUGACG